rnacentral:rRNA from 1 species
UCAGUCGGUGGCGGCGGACGACGACCUGAAAAAUCGAGCAGGGCUUCCCCGAGCUGGGGGCCGUUCGGUCGUUCGUCACUGCUUCCUCCGACGCAUUUGUCUCCCGUCCGAAGGACGCCGCAGCCGGUUGGGUAUUUGCAAGCACGGCGGCCUGAGGGGCGGACGACGGCAGGUGGCCGGUGGCUGGUGGAUUCAUGUUCCCAGUCGUCGGUUGUUAGCCGGUCCGCCGGUGGCCCGUCACCCGACCGAGGUGUCACGAGGCCCCUAGCGGGCCCCAAACGUGUCCUCCUCCCUGGAUGCGGGGCAGAGCGUCGCAGCCGAGUUCCGCCGCUUGUCGCACGCCACCAGGCGUGGACUCGAGAGCGGAAGGCGCCGAUGGUGAUGCCGGACCCGUGGGAAGAAUGGAGGCUGGCGGCGAGUAGGUCGGUCACCCACCCGACCCGUCUUGAAACACGGACCAAGGAGUCUAACAUGUGCGCGAGUCAAUGGGACUUGAACAGGCCCAGAGGCGCAAUGAAAGCAAAGGACGGCCUCAGCGCCGUCCGAGUUGGGAUCCGUCCUCUCCAAUGGGGGCGGCGCACCAACGACCCGUCCUAUCCGGCUCGUCCGGUUGGGCGGAGUGUGAGCGCACACGUUGGGACCCGAAAGAUGGUGAACUAUGCCCGGGCAGGACGAGGCCAGAGGAAACUCUGGUGGAGGUCCGCAGCGG